rnacentral:rRNA from 1 species
GACGAACGCUGGCGGCGUGCUUAACACAUGCAAGUCGAACGGAAAGGCCCUGCUUUUGUGGGGUGCUCGAGUGGCGAACGGGUGAGUAACACGUGAGUAACCUGCCCUUGACUGUGGGAUAACUUCAGGAAACUGGGGCUAAUACCGGAUAGGAGCUCCUGCUGCAUGGUGGGGGUUGGAAAGUUUCGGCGGUUGGGGAUGGACUCGCGGCUUAUCAGCUUGUUGGUGGGGUAGUGGCUUACCAAGGCUUUGACGGGUAGCCGGCCUGAGAGGGUGACCGGCCUCAUUGGGACUGAGAUACGGCCCAGACUCCUACGGGAGGCAGCAGUGGGGAAUAUUGCACAAUGGGCGGAAGCCUGAUGCAGCAACGCCGCGUGCGGGAUGACGGCCUUCGGGUUGUAAACCGCUUUCGCCUGUGACGAAGCGUGAGUGACGGUAAUGGGUAAAGAAGCACCGGCUAACUACGUG